UAGGGAAGUCUUCCACAAUGGGCGCGAAGCCUGAUGGAGCAACACCGCGUGAGUGAAGAAGGGUUUCGGCUCGUAAAGCUCUGUUGUUGGAGAAGAACGUGCGUGAGAGUAACUGUUCACGCAGUGACGGUAUCCAACCAGAAAGUCACGGCUAACUACGUGCC
rnacentral:rRNA from 1 species